rnacentral:rRNA from 1 species
GAUGAACGCUCGCGGCAGGCUUAACACAUGCAAGUCGAGGGGCAGCGCGGGAUAGCACUAUCCUGGCGGCGACCGGCGGAAGGGUGCGUAACGCGUGAGCGACAUGCCCGUUGCCCGGGGACAACCGGUGGAAACGCCGACUAAUCCCCGAUGGGAUAUUGUGCCGCAUGGCACGAUAUUGAAAGUUACGGCGGCGACGGAUUGGCUCGCGUCCGAUUAGCUGGUUGGCGGGGUAACGGCCCACCAAGGCUGCGAUCGGUAGGGGUUCUGAGAGGAAGGCCCCCCACAAUGGGACUGAGACACGGCCCAUACUCCUACGGGAGGCAGCAGUGAGGAAUAUUGGUCAAUGGGCGGAAGCCUGAACCAGCCAUGCCGCGUGCGGGAAGGAGGCCCUAUGGGCUGUGAACCGCUUUUGCCUGGGGGCAAUAAGGGCGUCGCGCACGUCCGAUGAGAGUACCAGGCGAAUAAGCAUCGGCUAACUCCGUG